rnacentral:rRNA from 1 species
GAUGAACGCUAGCGGCAGGCCUAAUACAUGCAAGUCGAACGGGAUUGAGGAGCUUGCUCCUCAUGAGGGUGGCGCACGGGUGCGUAACACGUAUGUAACCUACCUUAAUCAGGGGAAUAGCCUCUCGAAAGAGAGAUUAACACCGCAUAAAAUCACACUAUGGCAUCAUAGAAUGAUCAAAUAUUUAUAGGAUUAAGAUGGGCAUGCGGAACAUUAGCUAGUUGGUAAGGUAACGGCUUACCAAGGCUACGAUGUUUAGGGGAUCUGAGAGGAUGGCCCGCCACACUGGUACUGGGACACGGACCAGACUCCUACGGGAGGCAGCAGUAAGGAAUAUUGGUCAAUGGGCGGAAGCCUGAACCAGCCAUGCCGCGUGCAGGAAGACGGCCCUACGGGUUGUGACUGCUUUUGUACCGGAAUAAACCUUUCUACGUGUAGGAAGCUGAAUGUACGGUAAGAAUAAGGAUCGGCUAACUCCGUGCCAGCAGCCGCCGCAG